UAAGGAAUUUCAAGGUCUGAAAAAGAUAAGAAGACAGAAGAUUUGCACAGAAAUAUUUCACAGGCCUUGGUUCUGGCUUGGUGUGUGUGUGUGUGUGUGUGUGUGUG